UACGUAGGGGGCGAGCGUUGUCCGGAUUUACUGGGCGUAAAGGGCGCGUAGGCGGCCACCGCAAGUCGACUGUGAAAUCUCCGGGCUUAACUCGGAAAGGUCAGCCGAUACUGCGGGGCUAGAGUGCAGAAGGGGCAACUGGAAUUCUCGGUGUAGCGGUGAAAUGCGUAGAUAUCGUUUGGAACGCCAAUGGUGAAAACAGGUCGCUGGGGAUGCGGCUGA
rnacentral:rRNA from 1 species